rnacentral:rRNA from 1 species
GACGAACGCUGGCGGCGUGCUUAACACAUGCAAGUCGAACGGAAAGGUCUCUUCGGAGAUACUCGAGUGGCGAACGGGUGAGUAACACGUGGGUGAUCUGCCCUGCACUUCGGGAUAAGCUUGGGAAACUGGGUCUAAUACCGGAUAGGACCAUGCCAUGCAUGUGGUGUGGUGGAAAGCUUUUUGCGGUGUGGGAUGGGCCCGCGGCCUAUCAGCUUGUUGGUGGGGUGAUGGCCUACCAAGGCGACGACGGGUAGCCGGCCUGAGAGGGUGUCCGGCCACACUGGGACUGAGAUACGGCCCAGACUCCUACGGGAGGCAGCAGUGGGGAAUAUUGCACAAUGGGCGCAAGCCUGAUGCAGCGACGCCGCGUGGGGGAUGACGGCCUUCGGGUUGUAAACCUCUUUCACCAUCGACGAAGGCUCACUUUUGGUGGGUUGACGGUAGGUGGAGAAGAAGCACCGGCCAACUACGUGCCAGCAGCCGCCGUAAAAC